GCUCAGAGGACAAUACAUGGGAGAGUUGGCUAUUUAUUAGUACUUAAUUAAAAUUAUUAAUAUUUAAUUAAAAUAAAAUGUUUUUUACGCCUCCAUGGUGGAAGGCUCAUUUUGCCAGUUUGCAUAAAUACAUACUUUGCUAUCCUUCUUUCCUUUCGCAGCAUUUCCACUUGCCAUGAAUGGGCAAGCAGAAAAUAGUUUCAG
rnacentral:misc_RNA from 1 species